UGUGAAAUACCUCGUCCCCUCAGUUUUUCUACGUCAUCUCUCUGCGACUUGUAUCUGCAACCACCACGAACGAUGGCGCUUUCUCCAGUCCGGAGAAAGGAGCAUAUGGAAGACGAGGCCAAAGAGCGAGUGAAGGAGAAAUAGGGUCCCGCAAAGGAAGGAGCUGACAGGGGCAGGGAGAAGGAGAAAAGACGCAAAGGACGUAGCUCCACUGGUAGCAGCAUGUUAGACACAAUUUGAGUGACCGCUCCUUUCCCAUCUCUCAGCCAUCUCUGCUGAAUCAGACCACUUAUCUCAGCAGUCACUGCUUUCUGAUCUGUCCCCACAGUAAGCCCCUCUCCCUGUCAGAACGUAACUCUGGCUCCAGUAGCAGCUCUGGCUCUCAGUUCUUCCAGCGGCUCCAGUUCCUCCUCUGCCUCCAGCCGCUCCAGGUCUUCCAGCUCCCGAUCCUCCAGCUCCUCAGGGUCACCCAACCUCAUUCGCCGCCACAACAACAACCACCAACGCUCACAGUCCAAAUCCAAGUUCAGUGAAAAAGGAUGACAAGGAGAGGCGUAGGAGGAGCCCCAGCCCCCGACCCACCAAGGUGUACCUGGGCCGCCUCACCAGAAACGUAAUCAAGCGACAUCCAGGAGAUCUUCGGCACAUAUGGCAAGAUCAAAAUGAUUGACAUGCCUGUGGACAGGCUCCACCCACACCUGUCGAAAGGUUACGCCUAUGUGGAGUUUGAGACGGUCGUUGAGGCCGAGAAGGGUCUCAAACACAUGGAGGUCAGAUUGAUGGACAGGUGAUCAUAGCCACUGCCGUGCUGGCUCUCCCCUCACAGGAUGCCUCCACAACCCCCUAUGUGGCGACGCACCCCAUCCCGCAUAAGGAGAAGGUCUCGGUCACCACGGAGACGCUCUCUAGUUCGCCGCAGAACUCACAGCUCCUCUCCUCCCUCAUUUUCCCUUUCUUCACUGGAAAAGUUUGUAUCAAAAGUUCUACCCAGCUUCCUAUCCUUGUGUCCUUCCCUCUACAUUCACUGAUCUCACAGGGAAAAAACAUGACUAUUGAGACAGCCUUUCUCUCACCAUAGUAUAUUUUAUUGGUCUAUAAGUAUAAUAACAGUUGCUAGAAUCAGAGGCAAGCUAGCACUGUCAAGAGGAGUGAAA